CUAAUUUCACCUUGAUUUCAUUGAAGUUAUCCAGACUGUAAUCCGUGAUUUACGGUGGUGGCGCCACCAUCCGCAUAUUGGCCGUUGGCUUGAACUGACCACGCGGUAGUAGCGAUGGCGUGACCGUGUAGUUUAUAUCGCUGUGUUCGCAAAAAAAAAAAAAAAAAUGUCCACAGGAAAACGUAUGAAAUCCGUCAGUGUUGCGGAAUGGAACCGUGCGGAAAAUCUUCACGGUGGCUGCCUCAGAGCGGUGAAUUUGAAUUUGACUGCGGAACAAUUAGGCCGCAGCUGAACUGAUUGAGGUUAGCGAAUAUCUGAAUGUUACUUUAAUAAUAUUCGUUGGUCAACCAAAUUCCGAAGCUGAACAGUUCAUAAUGCUGUGGCAGGAUAAAACACAGUUAUAGGGUCAGUACUAUCGACUGCAUUUAUAAUAGUUAUGCUAUGAAAAAAAUAACCCGACUCAAUCGACCUCUGAGAACGAAGUGAAAACUUGACCAACCACUACAGUGAAUAAACGUGGAAGGUACGUAACUGAUAUGAUUUUUAAUUGCGUUGUCGCUUUUGGCCGUAAACGAUUUUAGAAUCUCGACUGAUGUUGAAUGCUGAUCACUGAUUUUAUACUUUCCUCACUGAUCGUACGCACUCUUAUUC
rnacentral:lncRNA from 1 species